ensembl:lncRNA LINC01339 long intergenic non-protein coding RNA 1339
CCCCGCUGGAAACUUGAUUUUGCGCUUUCCAGCCUCUAGAACUAAUAUGUGAAAAACAUUUAAAUCAGAAAGUAAAUGACAGGAUGAUUUGCAAGACACAGGGAUGUAAAAUUAAAAAGCCUCUCGAGCUCCAAAGGGGGAUGCAUCAGGACGAUAAUUCCAAGAGUUCAAUGGUGAAUUUCCUUGGCUUCCACUGAGCUACCUGUUAACUUCAACAAGCACACUGGCCUGGAGACUACAUGAUGGUGUAUCAGUAAUGGAUUUACAACUGCAAACAUCUCAAGCAGCAGUGCCACAUCCCUGCUACCUCCCUGCUUGUGCGUGUGUCCCUACAUUAUCCAAAAUAGGGGUGGGCUAAUGACGAUUGCAGGCUAACUCCAGCCUACCACUUGCUUCUAUAAAUAAAGUCUUAUUGUACACAAACAUAGCCAUUUAUUUAA